UCACAAAAGUGAGCAAGGGAAAUAUUUAUAGCUCUAGGAUCGGCCUGUACGGUAUCAGCUAGUUGGUGAGGUAAUGGCUCACCAAGGCAAUGACACCUAACUGGUUUGAGAGGAUGAUCAGUCACACUGAACUGAGACACGGUCCAGACUCCUACGGGAGGCAGCAGUGGGGAAUAUUGCACAAUGGACGAAAGUCUGAUGCAGCAACGCCGCGUGGAGGAUGACACAUUUCGGUGCGUAAACUCCUUUUAUAUAGGAAGAUAAUGACGGUACUAUAUGAAUAAGCACCGGUUAACUCCGUGCCAGCAGCCGCGGUAAUACGGAGGGUGCAAGCGUUACUCGGAAUUACUGGGCGUAAAGAGCGUGUAGGCGGGUAAAUAAGUUGGAAGUGAAAUCCUAUGGCUCAACCAUAGAACUGCUUCCAAAACUGUUAACCUAGAAUGUGGGAGAGGUAGAUGGAAUUUCUGGUGUAGGGGUAAAAUCCGUAGAUAACAGAAGGAAUACCGAUUGCGAAGGCGAUCUACUGGAACAUAAUUGACGCUGAGACGCGAAAGCGUGGGGAGCAAACAGGAUUAGAUACCCUGGUAGUCCACGCCCUAAACGAUGUACACUAGUUGUUGUGAGGCUAGACCUUGCAGUAAUGCAGUUAACACAUUAAGUGUACCGCCUGGGGAGUACGGUCGCAAGAUUAAAACUCAAAGGAAUAGACGGGGACCCGCACAAGCGGUGGAGCAUGUGGUUUAAUUCGACUAUACGCGAAGAACCUUACCUGGUCUUGACAUAGAAAGAACUUUCCAGAGAUGGAUUGGUGCCUGCUUGCAGGAGCUUUCAUACAGGUGCUGCACGGCUGUCGUCAGCUCGUGUCGUGAGAUGUUGGGUUAAGUCCCGCAGCGAGCGCAACCCUCGUCGUUAGUUGCUAACAGUUCGGCUGAGAACUCUAACGAGACUGCCUACGCAAGUAGGAGGAAGGUGAGGACGACGUCAAGUCAUCAUGGCCCUUACGACCAGGGCUACACACGUGCUACAAUGGGGUAUACAAAGAGCAGCGAUACGGUGACGUGGAGCGAAUCUCAAAAAUGCCUCCCAGUUCGGAUAGUAGUCUGCAACUCGACUACUUGAAGUUGGAAUCGCUAGUAAUCGUAGAUCAGCUAUGCUACGGUGAAUACGUUCCCGGGUCUUGUACUCACCGCCCGUCACACCAUGGGAGUUGAAUUCAUUCGAAGCGGGGAUGC
rnacentral:rRNA from 1 species